rnacentral:tRNA from 1 species
ACUAUUUUGGCAGAAAAGUGUAAUGAAUUUAGAAUUCAUGAAUGUAAAAUGAUUUACAAAUAGUA